CCUACGGGAGGCAGCAGUGAGGAAUAUUGGUCAAUGGACGAGAGUCUGAACCAGCCAAGUAGCGUGAAGGAUGACUGCCCUAUGGGUUGUAAACUUCUUUUAUAAAGGAAUAAAACGAGGCACGUGUGCCUUUUUGCAUGUCUUUUAUGAAUAAGGAUCGGCUAACUCCGUGCCAGCAGCCGCGGUAAUACGGAGGAUCCGAGCGUUAUCCGGAUUUAUUGGGUUUAAAGGGUGCGUAGUUGGGUUGUUAAGUCAGUUGUGAAAGUUUGCGGCUCAACCGUAAAAUUGCAGUUGAUACUGGCAGUCUUGAGUACAGUUGAGGUAGGCGGAAUUCGUGGUGUAGCGGUGAAAUGCGUAGAUAUCACGAAGAACCCCGAUUGCGAAGGCAGCGUACUAAGCUGUGACUGACAUUGAUGCACGAAAGUGUGGGUAUCAAACAGGAUUAGAUACCCCUGUAGUC
rnacentral:rRNA from 1 species